GAAAUGAGCAUCAAUGAUGAAAUUUCCAUUAUCGGUAACAACAGGACCAGCCUUUCCAGGAGCACCCAUACGAAGCUUAGGUUCAAUAGCACCGAGUUCCACCAGUUGGGGUAAAAUAGAAGCAUAGGCCAUGGGCAUUACUUCAAUGGGAACACCUUUUUUCCAAUAUUCACCGAGGACAUGGGAAUUUUUACGAGAAUCGGCAACGAUUACAAGUCUCUUUGCUAAGAAGGCAAUUAAUUUCUCCUGGAAAAGGCAAGCACCACCACCCUUAAUGCACUGAAGAUUGUCAUCCACUUCAUCAGCACCGUCAAAAGACACAUCCACGUUUGGAUAGCAAUCAGGAUCCCCGAGGCGUAAACCGUUGUUGACAAUCAAUUGUUUAGAUUGGAAACCAGUAGGAAUGAAAACAACACUAUCAACGCCAGGCUUUGUCAAUAAACGCUCGACAACGUAUACAACGGUACUGCCACUUCCAAUACCAAUGACUUUGGGAUUUUCAGGAUAAUUUUCGUCAACCGCCAUAUGACAAGCCAAUCGCUUAGCUAAUUCAAUGGGAGACAAAUCCAACUUCUUUUCUGCUGAAUCCAUUUUAUUUUUUUCAAGAGAAAGUCGAAGGGUAUAAAUGAAGCGAAAGAAUUGAAAAAUUUUUUUUACAAAAGAGCCAAAUUGGACUUUGAAAAAUCAAAUGAAGAAUGAUAUAUCUGAGCCAAAAAGACAAUAAAUAGCCUUAAAAGCUAACAAUCUGACAGCUAAGGUUCGAGGAUGAGAUAAUUGAAACUUUCAGUACAGAGAUAAAAAGAAUAUAAAGUUUUUACCUUUUUUUACUCACGAAUAGAGAAGUAAAGGAGAAAGGCAAAGAACAAAUAUGGUUUGAGGCUCCAAACAAAAAGAAAAAAAAAAUGUAAAAUUUUUUUUGGUCUUAGUUACUAAAGCAAGUAAGGGUGAAAAGUAGAUCAAGGAACUGAUUCAAACAGUAAACUAAUCUGGUACUUUACUAAGUACUUUUAAAAACUCACGAUAGAGUAUGAGAGAUGAAAGGAUUGAUGACUUUUUUUAGAGAGAGAUGAAUUCGAAGUUAAGGGAAUUCAAUCAAUAUCCAAGAGAUGGAAUUUUUUGAUGAAAAGGGAAGAAAAAUGAGAAAGAUUUUUUGAUUAGCUUUCUUUUUUCGGAGGAGGAAAAAGAAAAAAAGCCACUAAGAGUUAAAAAAUGAAAACACGUAGAACCCUGAAAAAAAAAAAAGUACACAAAACCCGACGUAAGGUCC